rnacentral:rRNA from 1 species
UACGGGGGGGGCAAGCGUUGUUCGGAAUUACUGGGCGUAAAGGGCUCGUAGGCGGCCAACUAAGUCAGACGUGAAAUCCCUCGGCUUAACCGGGGAACUGCGUCUGAUACUGGAUGGCUUGAGAUUGGGAGAGGGAUGCGGAAUUCCAGGUGUAGCGGUGAAAUGCGUAGAUAUCUGGAGGAACACCGGUGGCGAAGGCGGCAUCCUGGACCAACACUGACGCUGAGGAGCGAAAAGCCAGGGGAGCAAACGGG